AUUGAACGCUGGCGGCAGGCCUAACACAUGCAAGUCGGACGGUAGCACAGAGAGCUUGCUCUCGGGUGGCGAGUGGCGGACGGGUGAGUAAUGUCUGGGGAUCUGCCCGAUAGAGGGGGAUAACCACUGGAAACGGUGGCUAAUACCGCAUAACGUCGCAAGACCAAAGAGGGGGACCUUCGGGCCUCUCACUAUCGGAUGAACCCAGAUGGGAUUAGCUAGUAGGCGGGGUAAUGGCCCACCUAGGCGACGAUCCCUAGCUGGUCUGAGAGGAUGACCAGCCACACUGGAACUGAGACACGGUCCAGACUCCUACGGGAGGCAGCAGUGGGGAAGAUUGCACAAUGGGCGCAAGCCUGAUGCAGCCAUGCCGCGUGUAUGAAGAAGGCCUUCGGGUUGUAAAGUACUUUCAGCGGGGAGGAAGGCGAUGUGGUUAAUAACCGCGUCGAUUGACGUUACCCGCAGAAGAAGCACCGGCUAACUCCGUGCCAGCCGCCGCCGUAA
rnacentral:rRNA from 1 species